rnacentral:rRNA from 1 species
AUACGUAGGUGGCGAGCGUUGUCCGGAUUUACUGGGCGUAAAGGAUGCGUAGGCGGAUAUGUAAGUCAGAUGUGAAAACCCCAGGCUUAACUUGGGGACUGCAUUUGAAACUGUGUAUCUGGAGUGCAGGAGAGGAAAGUGGAAUUCCUAGUGUAGCGGUGAAAUGCGUAGAGAUUAGGAAGAACAUCAGUGGCGAAGGCGGCUUUCUGGACUGUAACUGACGCUGAUGCAUGAAAGCGUGGGGAGCAAACAGGAUUAGAUACCCUGGUAGUCCACGCUGUAAACGAUGAAUACUAGGUGUGGGAGGUAUCGACCCCUUCCGUGCCGCAGCCAACGCAAUAAGUAUUCCGCCUGGGGAGUACGGUCGCAAGAUUAAA